UAUUAGGUUGGUGCAAAAGUAAUUGCAGUUUUUGCUAUUGGACGUAAUGGUAAAACUGCAAUUAUUUUUGCACCAACCUAAUA
ensembl:miRNA